ACUCCUACGGGAGGCAGCAGUGGGGAAUUUUGCGCAAUGGGGGAAACCCUGACGCAGCAACGCCGCGUGGAGGAUGAAAUAUCUUGGUAUGUAAACUCCUUUCGAUGGGGAAGAUAAUGACGGUACCCAUAGAAGAAGCCCCGGCUAACUUCGUGCCAGCAGCCGCGGUAAU
rnacentral:rRNA from 1 species